rnacentral:rRNA from 1 species
UACGUAGGUGGCAAGCGUUGUCCGGAAUUAUUGGGCGUAAAGAGCGUGUAGGCGGCCAUGUAGGUCCGUUGUGAAAACUCGAGGCUCAACCUCGAGACGCCGAUGGAAACCAUGUGGCUAGAGUCCGGAAGAGGAGAGUGGAAUUCCUGGUGUAGCGGUGAAAUGCGCAGAUAUCAGGAAGAACACCCGUGGCUAAGGCGGCUCUCUAGUACGGUACUGACGCUGAGACGCGAAAGCGUGGGGAGCGAACAGG